rnacentral:piRNA from 1 species
UGAGUUAUUGCCUUCUCUGGAGGA